UAACAUAAUAGCUCUCUUUCUCUCUUUUUUCUUGGAUUCCCUCUCUCCCCCCUGUUUCUCUUUUUUUCUCUCAUGCCAGUCGUCUUCCCUAGCUCCGAUUGCUACACGCUCCUGACAAGAAGAUUCAAAGGCCACCGAACCAUCGGUCACGCGGGCCAUCGGAGCUCACUCGCCAAUUAAGCCUCCCAAACAGACGCUCGAAGUUCCAACAUUAGUUCUAAUUUUAUCUUCGAUCCGACCACCUCAAGCCUUCACUGGCUAAGUGACCACCACCAUCAUGUUCCUUACAUCGUAGGCUUCAAGACCAACAAAAGGAUCAGACUCAAUGGUCAUCAAAGUUUGAAGUUGACAUUCACCGGAAUUCAUGGAGAUUUCCAAACUUUUAAGCUUAGAUCCGAGCUUUUCCGAGCCAUUCCAAGAUAAACCACCACCACCAUGACAUUUCCCAUGGCUUGGGCUUCAAAACAUAGUAGUUUGUUUCCUGAACCACCACCGUUGAGUGGUGGCACCACCGUCGUCGUCGGAGUUCUGCCGUGAGUCACAGUCGGUGACCACCUCAGGGGCUUCAGAGCCAUUUUCGAGCUCCACAAAGCAACGCUCAACUCGUGUCGAGUCCCGAACAUGUUGGUGUGACUUGAUACUUGGACCUCUUGUGGACUCCGGACUCGGAAGCAAUGACUUUUAUGAAUAUUAUUUUUAGAAGUCUUAUAUUAUUCUAUAAGUUUUGUUUAAUUGGACUUUGUAAAUAACCAAAUGUUAUCAAAGUUCAAUAUUUUUAAACUUUUCGCAUUUUUAUAGACUUUGAGUUAUGAUUUUA